rnacentral:rRNA from 1 species
UAGGGAAUCUUCGGCAAUGGACGAAAGUCUGACCGAGCAACGCCGCGUGAGUGAAGAAGGUUUUCGGAUCGUAAAACUCUGUUGUUAGAGAAGAACAAGGACGUUAGUAACUGAACGUCCCCUGACGGUAUCUAACCAGAAAGCCACGGCUAACUACGUGCCAGCAGCCGCGGUAAUACGUAGGUGGCAAGCGUUGUCCGGAUUUAUUGGGCGUAAAGCGAGCGCAGGCGGUUUCUUAAGUCUGAUGUGAAAGCCCCCGGCUCAACCGGGGAGGGUCAUUGGAAACUGGGAGACUUGAGUGCAGAAGAGGAGAGUGGAAUUCCAUGUGUAACGGUGAAAUGCGUAGAUAUAUGGAGGAACACCAGUGGCGAAGGCGGCUCUCUGGUCUGUAACUGACGCUGAGGCUCGAAAGCGUGGGGAGCAAACAGG